rnacentral:rRNA from 1 species
AGCGCAUACGGUGGAUGCCUUGGCAGUCAGAGGCGAUGAAAGACGUGGUAGCCUGCGAAAAGCUUCGGGGAGUCGGCAAACAGACUUUGAUCCGGAGAUCUCUGAAUGGGGGAACCCAGCCAGCAUAAGCUGGUUAUCUUGCACUGAAUACAUAGGUGCAAGAGGCGAACCAGGGGAACUGAAACAUCUAAGUACCCUGAGGAAAAGAAAUCAACCGAGAUUCCCUUAGUAGUGGCGAGCGAACGGGGACUAGCCCUUAAGUUGAUUUGAGAUUAGCGGAACGCUCUGGAAAGUGCGGCCAUAGUGGGUGAUAGCCCUGUACGCGAAAAUCUCUUGUCAAUGAAAUCGAGUAGGACGGAGCACGAGAAACUUUGUCUGAAUAUGGGGGGACCAUCCUCCAAGGCUAAAUACUACUGACUGACCGAUAGUGAACCAGUACCGUGAGGGAAAGGCGAAAAGAACCCCGGAGAGGGGAGUGAAAUAGAUCCUGAAACCGUAUGCGUACAAGCAGUGGGAGCAGACUUUGUUCUGUGACUGCGUACCUUUUGUAUAAUGGGUCAGCGACUUAUAUUCAGUGGCGAGCUUAACCGAAUAGGGGAGGCGUAGCGAAAGCGAGUCUUAAUAGGGCGUUUAGUCGCUGGGUAUAGACCCGAAACCGGGCGAUCUAUCCAUGGGCAGGUUGAAGGUUAGGUAACACUGACUGGAGGACCGAACCGACUACCGUUGAAAAGUUAGCGGAUGACCUGUGGAUCGGAGUGAAAGGCUAAUCAAGCUCGGAGAUAGCUGGUUCUCCUCGAAAGCUAUUUAGGUAGCGCCUCAUGUAUCACUCCAGGGGGUAGAGCACUGUUUCGGCUAGGGGGUCAUCCCGACUUACCAAACCGAUGCAAACUCCGAAUACCUGGAAGUGCCGAGCAUGGGAGACACACGGCGGGUGCUAACGUCCGUCGUGAAAAGGGAAACAACCCAGACCGUCAGCUAAGGUCCCAAAGUUAUGGUUAAGUGGGAAACGAUGUGGGAAGGCUUAGACAGCUAGGAGGUUGGCUUAGAAGCAGCCACCCUUUAAAGAAAGCGUAAUAGCUCACUAGUCGAGUCGGCCUGCGCGGAAGAUGUAACGGGGCUCAAACCAUACACCGAAGCUACGGGUAUCACUUAGGUGAUGCGGUAGAGGAGCGUUCUGUAAGCCUGUGAAGGUGAGUUGAGAAGCUUGCUGGAGGUAUCAGAAGUGCGAAUGCUGACAUGAGUAACGACAAUGGGUGUGAAAAACACCCACGCCGAAAGACCAAGGUUUCCUGCGCAACGUUAAUCGACGCAGGGUUAGUCGGUCCCUAAGGCGAGGCUGAAAAGCGUAGUCGAUGGAAAACAGGUUAAUAUUCCUGUACUUCUGGUUAUUGCGAUGGAGGGACGGAGAAGGCUAGGCCAGCUUGGCGUUGGUUGUCCAAGUUUAAGGUGGUAGGCUGAGAUCUUAGGUAAAUCCGGGAUCUUAAGGCCGAGAGCUGAUGACGAGUUACCCUUUGGGUGACGAAGUGGUUGAUGCCAUGCUUCCAAGAAAAGCUUCUAAGCUUCAGAUAACCAGGAACCGUACCCCAAACCGACACAGGUGGUUGGGUAGAGAAUACCAAGGCGCUUGAGAGAACUCGGGUGAAGGAACUAGGCAAAAUGGCACCGUAACUUCGGGAGAAGGUGCGCCGGUGAGGGUGAAGCACUUGCUGCGUAAGCCCACGCCGGUCGAAGAUACCAGGCCGCUGCGACUGUUUAUUAAAAACACAGCACUCUGCAAACACGAAAGUGGACGUAUAGGGUGUGACGCCUGCCCGGUGCCGGAAGGUUAAUUGAUGGGGUUAGCUAACGCGAAGCUCUUGAUCGAAGCCCCGGUAAACGGCGGCCGUAACUAUAACGGUCCUAAGGUAGCGAAAUUCCUUGUCGGGUAAGUUCCGACCUGCACGAAUGGCGUAACGAUGGCGGCGCUGUCUCCACCCGAGACUCAGUGAAAUUGAAAUCGCUGUGAAGAUGCAGUGUAUCCGCGGCUAGACGGAAAGACCCCGUGAACCUUUACUAUAGCUUUGCACUGGACUUUGAAUUUGCUUGUGUAGGAUAGGUGGGAGGCUUUGAAGCGUGGACGCCAGUUCGCGUGGAGCCAUCCUUGAAAUACCACCCUGGCAACUUUGAGGUUCUAACUCAGGUCCGUUAUCCGGAUCGAGGACAGUGUAUGGUGGGUAGUUUGACUGGGGCGGUCUCCUCCUAAAGAGUAACGGAGGAGUACGAAGGUGCGCUCAGACCGGUCGGAAAUCGGUCGUAGAGUAUAAAGGCAAAAGCGCGCUUGACUGCGAGACAGACACGUCGAGCAGGUACGAAAGUAGGUCUUAGUGAUCCGGUGGUUCUGUAUGGAAGGGCCAUCGCUCAACGGAUAAAAGGUACUCCGGGGAUAACAGGCUGAUACCGCCCAAGAGUUCAUAUCGACGGCGGUGUUUGGCACCUCGAUGUCGGCUCAUCACAUCCUGGGGCUGAAGCCGGUCCCAAGGGUAUGGCUGUUCGCCAUUUAAAGUGGUACGCGAGCUGGGUUUAGAACGUCGUGAGACAGUUCGGUCCCUAUCUGCCGUGGACGUUUGAGAUUUGAGAGGGGCUGCUCCUAGUACGAGAGGACCGGAGUGGACGAACCUCUGGUGUUCCGGUUGUCACGCCAGUGGCAUUGCCGGGUAGCUAUGUUCGGAAAAGAUAACCGCUGAAAGCAUCUAAGCGGGAAACUUGCCUCAAGAUGAGAUCUCACUGGAACCUUGA